CGGACCGGCGCACGGGUGAGUAACGCGUAUGCAACUUACCUAUCAGGAGGGGAUAACCCGGCGAAAGUCGGACUAAUACCGCAUAAAGCAGGGAUCCCGCAUGGGAAUAUUUGCUAAAGAUUCAUCGCUGAUAGAUAGGCAUGCGUUCCAUUAGGCAGUUGGCGGGGUAACGGCCCACCAAACCGACGAUGGAUAGGGGUUCUGAGAGGAAGGUCCCCCACAUUGGUACUGAGACACGGUCCAA
rnacentral:rRNA from 1 species